rnacentral:rRNA from 1 species
UUUUCCCGGGACAGGAGGACCAUCUCCAAGACCUCGCGCUGAUGGACUCCCUAAAUCUGGAUUAUCUAGUUGGUGGGGUAAAUUCUUGCACGAUGGGAGUCCUGUGCCUCCGGGUAUCUCUUAUACACGUGACGCAUGGCACUUGUUACCUCGCGUUAUGAAAUGUUGGGUUAAGUCUCAGCACCGAGCGCAACCCUUUUCCUUAUUUCGCCAGCAUUUCGGAAGGGAACUUUAAGGAUAUUGCCAGUGACAAAAUGGAGGAAGGCGGGGAAGACGUCAAGUCAUCAUGGCCCUUACGGCCAGGGCUACACACGUGCUACAAUGGUCGGUACAAAGGGUUGCUACACAGCGAUGUGAUGCUAAUCUCAAAAAGCCGAUCGUAGUCCGGAUUGGAGUCUGCAACUCGAAUACGUGAAAAAAGGAUAACCAGUAAUGGAUCCUCAAAAGUUUGCUCUGGGUUCGGAAAGUGGCAACAAGGUAACCAG